rnacentral:rRNA from 1 species
ACUAACAAGGAUUCCCCUAGUAACUGCGAGUGAAGAGGGAAAAGCUCAAAUUUAAAAUCUGACAGUCUAUGGCUGUCCGAGUUGUAAAUUAGAGAAGUGUUAUCUGCUCAAGCCUGUGCAAAAGUCUCUUGGAAAAGGGCAUCAUAGAGGGUGACAAUCCCGUCUUUGGCACAGAUCACUUGCGCUUUUGUGAUGCGCUCUCAAUGAGUCGAGUUGUUUGGGAAUGCAGCUCCAAAUGGGUGGUAAAUUCCAUCUAAAGCUAAAUAUUGGCGAGAAACCGAUAGCGCACAAGUACCGUGAGGGAAAGAUGAAAAGAACUUUGAAAAGAGAGUUAAACAGUACGUGAAAUUGUUGAAAGGGAAACGCUUGGAGUCAGUCGUGUUCUGCAAAAUCAACCUAACCUUUGGUUGGGUGUAUUUUUUGUAGAAUGGGUCAGCAUCAAUUUUGAUUGUUGGAAAAAGGACUUGGGAAUGUGGCAUCUUUGGAUGUGUUAUAGCCCUUGUUUGUAUACAAUGAUUGGGAUUGAGGAACUCAGUGUGACAUUUGUUUGGGGGCAUUGCCUCACAUCAACGCACUUAGGAUGCUGGCAUAAUGGCUUUAAUCGACCCGUCUUGAAACACGGACCAAGGAGUCUAACAUGCAUGCAAGUGUUUGGGUGGAAAACUCAAGCGCGUAAUGAAAGUGAAAGUUGAGAACCCUGUCGUGGGGUGCAUCGACGCCCGGUCUUGACCUUUUGUGACGGACCUGCGGUAGAGCAUGUAUGUUGGGACCCGAAGAUGGUGAACUAUGCCUGAUAGGUGAAGCCAGAGGAAACUCUGGUGGAGCUCGUAGCGAUCUGACGUGCAAUCGAUCGUCGAUUUGGUAUAGGGGCGAAAGACUAUCGACAUCUAGUAGCUGUCUGC